UACGUAGGGUGCAGGCGUUAAUCGGAAUUACUGGGCGUAAAGCGUGUGUAGGCGGUUUCUUAAGUCUGCUGUGAAAUCCCCGGGCUCAACCUGGGAAUGGCAGUGGAUACUGGGAGCUAGAGUGUGAUAGAGGAUGGUGGAAUUCCCGGUGUAGCGGUGAAAUGCGUAGAGAUCGGGAGGAACAUCAGUGGCGAAGGCGGCCAUCUGGAUCAACACUGACGCUGAGACACGAAAGCGUGGGGAGCAAACGGG
rnacentral:rRNA from 1 species